rnacentral:rRNA from 1 species
GAUGAACGCUAGCGACAGGCCUAACACAUGCAAGUCGAGGGGCAGCAUGAAAUUAGCUUGCUAAUUUUGAUGGCGACCGGCGCACGGGUGAGUAACACGUAUACAACCUGCCUGUAAGCGGGGGAUAACCCGGAGAAAUUCGGACUAAUACCGCAUAAUAUCAUUGAUUCGCAUGUUUCAAUGAUUAAAAAUUUAUUGCUUACAGAUGGGCAUGCGUAUGAUUAGCUAGUUGGCGGGGUAACGGCCCACCAAGGCGACGAUCAUUAGGGGUUCUGAGAGGAAGGUCCCCCACAUUGGAACUGAGACACGGUCCAAACUCCUACGGGAGGCAGCAGUGAGGAAUAUUGGUCAAUGGACGCAAGUCCGAACCAGCCAUGUCGCGUGAAGGAUGACUGUCCUAUGGAUUGUAAACUUCUUUUAUAUGGGGAUAAAGUGUGAGACUUGUCUCAUUUUUGCAUGUACCAUAUGAAUAAGCAUCGGCUAACUCCGUGCCAGCCGCCGCCGUAACAC